GUGGGGAAUUUUGGACAAUGGGCGCAAGCCUGAUCCAGCAAUGCCGCGUGCAGGAAGAAGGCCUUCGGGUUGUAAACUGCUUUUGUACGGAACGAAACGGUCCGGGUUAAUACCCUGGGCUAAUGACGGUACCGUAAGAAUAAGCACCGGCUAACUACGUGCCAGCAGCCGCGGUAAUACGUAGGGUGCAAGCGUUAAUCGGAAUUACUGGGCGUAAAGCGUGCGCAGGCGGUUUUGUAAGACAGUGGUGAAAUCCCCGGGCUCAACCUGGGAACUGCCAUUGUGACUGCAAGGCUAGAGUGCGGCAGAGGGGGAUGGAAUUCCGCGUGUAGCAGUGAAAUGCGUAGAUAUGCGGAGGAACACCGAUGGCGAAGGCAAUCCCCUGGGCCUGCACUGACGCUCAUGCACGAAAGCGUGGGGAGCAAACAGGAUUAGAAACCCUGGUAGUCC
rnacentral:rRNA from 1 species